GUUUAUGUAAUUUAACAAAAAUUACAGCACUGAAAAUGCCGUUUUGGGUGUUAAAACACCCCGUGAACA
rnacentral:tRNA from 1 species